rnacentral:rRNA from 1 species
UUGGGCGUAAGCGAGCGCAGGCGGUCUUUUAAGUCUGAUGUGAAAGCCUUCGGCUUAACCGGAGAUGUGCAUCGGAAACUGGGAGACUUGAGUGCAGGAGAGGACAGUGGAACUCCAUGUGUAGCGGUGGAAUGCGUAGAUAUAUGGAAGAACACCAGUGGCGAAGGCGGCUGUCUAGUCUGUAACUGACGCUGAGGCUCGAAAGCAUGGGUAGCAAACAGGAUUAGAUACCCUGGUAGUCCAUGCCGUAAACGAUGAGUGCUAGGUGUUGGAGGGUUUCCGCCCUUCAGUGCCGCAGCUAACGCAUUAAGCACUCCGCCUGGGGAGUACGACCGCAAGGUUGAAACUCAAAGGAAUUGACGGGGGCCCGCACAAGCGGUGGAGCAUGUGGUUUAAUUCGAAGCUACGCGAAGAACCUUACCAGGUCUUGACAUCUUCUGCCAAUCUUAGAGAUAAGACGUUCCCUUCGGGGACAGAAUGACAGGUGGUGCAUGGUUGUCGUCAGCUCGUGUCGUGAGAUGUUGGGUUAAGUCCCGCAACGAGCGCAACCCUUAAGCUUAGUUGCCAUCAUUAAGUUGGGCACUCUAAGUUGACUGCCGGUGACAAACCGGAGGAAGGUGGGGAUGACGUCAAAUCAUCAUGCCCCUUAUGAUUUGGGCUAC